rnacentral:rRNA from 1 species
CCUACGGGUAGCAGCAGUGGGGAAUAUUGGACAAUGGGCGAAAGCCUGAUCCAGCCAUGCCGCGUGUGUGAAGAAGGCCUUCGGGUUGUAAAGCACUUUCAGUGGGGAAGAAAGCCUUGGGGCUAAUACCCUCGAGGAAGGACAUCACCCACAGAAGAAGCACCGGCUAACUCCGUGCCAGCAGCCGCGGUAAUACGGAGGGUGCGAGCGUUAAUCGGAAUUACUGGGCGUAAAGCGCGCGUAGGCGGUCUGAUAAGCCGGUUGUGAAAGCCCCGGGCUCAACCUGGGAACGGCAUCCGGAACUGUCAGGCUAGAGUGCAGGAGAGGAAGGUAGAAUUCCCGGUGUAGCGGUGAAAUGCGUAGAGAUCGGGAGGAAUACCAGUGGCGAAGGCGGCCUUCUGGACUGACACUGACGCUGAGGUGCGAAAGCGUGGGUAGCAAACAGGAUUAGAUACCCCAGUAGUC